rfam:Camelus ferus unplaced genomic scaffold scaffold290, whole genome shotgun sequence.
GAGGGUAUAGCUCAAGUGGUAGAGCACAUGCUUAGCAUGCAUGAGGUCCUGGGUUCAAUCCCCAGUACCUCCU